AUUCCAGCGCUGACGAUCCCAAAUGCUUAACUCUGAGAUCAUUUGCAAUCUCAUAUAAACUUAUAAAGAUAUUAUUAUUCAUGGGAUACCAUUUGUUUUGCUAGUAAAAGAGACAGGGUGUAAAACUACAUUCGAAUCUCGCUCUACAAAAGCCAAUCACAUUUGGAUCCUAUUAAUAAUAGCAACCGUCAUGUUUGCAAACUUAAAAAUGACGUCUAGAAAUUCUAGACGAAAGCACUAUAUAAUGCCAACAUUCACAUUAUGUCCUCAAACAAUUGUAAACAAAAUGGCUUUCGCAAACAGUGAUGUUAAUCGUCAAGAAUGGGCACAAAGAAUAAAUAGAUCGAGAAAGCUUGUGGUUGAAACGCACAGCCGCGUUCAUCAUAGCCAUGAACAAUGUAGAUAUGUUUCACUGGCUGAAACUGGAGUCAUUCUUCACAUUGACGGUCUAACAUUUAACAUUCUUGUUAGAAUUUGCCUUUGCGGACAUUAUGUUAACAAACGCCAUCUUCUGUCUCAGUGCCUUAUCCAUGCCGCGGAAUUUAAAGAUGGUGCGGAGUUACAUCUAGAUGACAGAUGUCAAUAUAAAUCAAUUGACGGCCGCCUGGAGAAAGUGUGCUUUUGUCCAAGAGACAAAAUCAUAUAACGGUGCAACAAGGGGUAAAACAUGGUGAGCUUCCGGACAGUCGCCACUUCAAGACCGGACUAUUUGCUUAUAUAUUAUGCAUUGAAAUGAACAAUACAAUACAAUUAUGCUGAUUUGUUUUCAUUGCCAUUUUUAGAUAAUUAUAUCUACAUACUAUUGUGCAUAUUAAGCAUGUUUGUUCACAAUUAUACACAUAUAUAUCAUCAAAAGUACUAUGAUCGUUUUAAAUCAUUUAUUGACUAACACUUUAAAGUCCACAAUACGUGAUAACGUACAAGAUAUGAAGGGUACCAGAUUGCUUUAUAUCAGUUACUCUCUUUGAUGCUCCGCCUUCUAUUGAAUAUUAAUAACUGGCGUGUUACCCGCCCAUUUUUGUAGUUUCUUAUCAAACACUGCAAUAUUGAUUUCAAACAUAUGUACAAAACUGGCGUUUAUCAAUAGCAUAUUCCAGCUGCUACGAGCCAUGGUUGAAAACUUUAUUAAUUAUCGACGUUUAACAAAACGUGGUUGUGGCAUCCAUCGAGACCUUUUUUGAAACUUAACUUUAUAGAGCGCUUUCAAACUGUCUUAUUAAAUACAUGUCACUCGACAUAUACUUAUGACAUCAAAUAAAAUCUCCUGAACAUAUUACCGUGUUUAGUUUAGUUGAAACAUUAACUUUCUCCCUCAAAGGAGCUUCAUUAAACAAUUAUGAUCUUGUUCUUAAAAUAGAUGUUAUAACUACGCAACAUUAGGAUUUCAAGGCUUUUUAUUGGCAUUUUAUUGAUUCCGAUGCCAAUUUGUAGGUUAUUUACAGUGAUGAAAACAGUGAUAUGAAUUAGGUAAAAAAAACUGCAUUGCCUUAUUCAUAUUUAACAAAUAAGAAUUGUUUUGUUAAAAAACCUACAUAGCCAUAAUUUAUUGAGUUGGUCCCUUUUUGUUCGAACAACUGAUAUGGGUAUAUUCAAUGUCAUUACCAGAUAAGGUUUUAGGCCCGCCUACUUACAGGCUUAGAUACCGUCAACAGCACACAUGGCACGCCUUCUUUUGCAUACAUUUAUGUUAAUGCGUAAUGACGUCACCUCUUGCUGACCGACUAUAAAAGUCGCUUACAAGAAGAGACUGCCCAUAAAAAGUUGCUAUAAACGGAGAGAAACUUAAUAAAAUGGCCGAUGUGAAUAUUGAACACGGAUAUUUUCGUAGUACGAACGAAUCCUGGGCUUGGACCAUAUUUGCAAACUUUUUUUUACGGUUUUUAUAUCGACUUUUAUGCGGAAAACCAACAAAUACUAACUACUAUCCGAGAGAAACAGCAAGCGAUAUGCGUAUAUAAUCGAUAUAAGUGCCAGAUUUCAUUAAGUCGACUUUAAUUAGAUCCAACUAAGAAUAAUAGCUUCAAUUGAUAAAUGUUGUGACAUCAAAUGAUACUCACACAUAUAAUACACAUAUAGUUGGAAAUUAGUACUGAAUUUCAAUUUAAUGCUAAGAAACAAAAAAAACUAAACUUACUUGUUGUGAACAAUAGCCAAACAUAAAUGCUAUAAGCAAUAGGAUGUAAACAACUGUUAUAGUAAAGCCCUAACUACGAACUGAUAUCGAAGAAUUCAAGAUUUAAAAUGUGACUACUUGCCUACUCGACAUGAUCAAUAAAACCAUUUCAACAUAAAGCAUUGUGUGUCCUCGCUGUUUGAAAAAAACAUAAGUCACGGGAACAUUACAUGAAGUUACAUGAAGAUAACAAUGAAAUAAUCAGUGUAUUAUAUAAUUAUAUCGUUUAUUUGGUUUAAAUUGUGUGAAUGCGUUUUAUUGUCUGCUCUCUGCAGCAAUUUCCAUACAGCGUUUAUCGUUUUUCUGUGAGCGUUUAACUUAUACGAACGAUUGUUAUACGUCUCCGCCAUAUUUUAAACUUGAGAGACGUUUUAUACUACCAGAAUUGACGUGUAUGGAUGGAAAAAUCUGAAUGUGUAUGUGUGCACCCAAAAGUUUAAGGCAAUAAAAUGGACCGGAUGACAAAAGUAUUGCCAAGACAAUGUUAAAGAUGCUUCACAUUUUUAGUUAUUAUUACAAAAGAUAUUGUUAAAGACACAUUAGAAAACACAAUAUCGGCCGCGAUUACCAUAUAGUACGAUAGAAGGAUGAGGACAGAACAGCAAUAAAUACAUUCACACUCAACAUGAUGGUAUAUACAAAAGGAUUACACAUGUUUCUAUGGUUUGCUUGGAUGGCACUGUUUUAUUUGUGUGCGCACGUGUGAUCAGAGGCAAAACCAAAAGUGACAUUAAGAUAUCCUUCAUAUUUAACUAAUUCAGUCGACGGCAUUGAAUGUGAUUCAAAUCAAUUUUGUUAGAAACGAAGAGCCCUUGAUAUUGGAACAUACAAAUUGGAAAUGAUACAAGCUGCGAAAAACUUUUUUUAACAAAAUAGUUCCAUGUUUACUUCUACAACACACAUUAAAGAAAGUACAAGAAAGGUUAAAGGGUUUAAAGACUAUUUGCUAGCAUCAAUCAUCAACGGAAAAUCGUACUCUUAAUCAGACAUAACAGACCGAAAACUUAGUCUUUUUAUGUCGUAUGGUAAUAAUGUGUAUGUUUAGUAUAUAGUCUUCAUGUUUUGUAUUUAAUUGAUACAUUGUGCAUAGUUAUUCACAUGUCAUCUUAGCAAGCUUUGUUGCAAAGUGCUUUAUGAAAAUGUUGUCUUUAACUUAUAAAGAGAAAAAUGUAUAUUAUUGCAUUCCGUUCAUUAACAUUCGAGGUCUAUGUUCGCAUAUAGAGGUUUGGUAUAAACAUUUAGUACACAGUUUGUAUUUAAAUAUCGCAUAACGCAAUUAAACCAUAACAACAUGCACGUUUUUUUCAAUUUUGUAAAAUGAAUGUUUGCUUAUUGUACUGAAUACGUGAUUAAAACAAUGAUACUUUG